ACAUGGCCCAACGUAACGAGGUACGUGUUCCGCAUAUGGGCAAACCAUGGCGUGGAUCCCACAAUUUUAAACACGUUCUCUUCACAGACACCAAUCUGCGUCUUAUUCAACUUGGAGCGUUCUCAUUCUCAGCCGUCCAUUCCGGUGAAAAGAAAACCCUAUACUAUAUGCCGUUUAGAAUCGAAUUCCGCAUUCCAACUCCUAAAAGAAAGGCGGAGGCUUUUUUGUCCCUUUCUCAUUCUCACUUUCUCGGAAAAUCUCCUCCCAUUUUCUAUCUGCAAAUUUAACAAAGCUCCUUUAAGGUUUGUUUGGUUGCCGAGAAGACUUCUAUAGUUUGCUUAUGAACCUUUGGAUUCCUUGUUAUCUGAUUUGUUAUUGAUAACUUAUUGUUUUUUCUUUUUCUUCCCUUUCAAUUUAACUGUGUAGUUUUAAGGCGUUGCACAUGGCGGAUGAGACGACGAUCGCGAACGGUGUCGCUUCAGAGAAUGACGAUCAGACGGCUGAGAGCUUCUACGAUGUUGAUCAGCGCGAGAACGAAGCCAAGCUGAAGCGAAAGAUCGAAGCCUUAGAGAAGGAGAGAUUCUCCCUGGACAAUGAAAACAAAGAAAUCAAAGAUCAGAUGCUGCAAUUGACGGCGGAGAUCGAAUCACUGAGAUCCGGAGAGUCCGAGCUGAAACUCAGGCUGGAAGCAAUAGGGAAAGAGAUGGAGCAGUCGGAGGAGGGGAAGAGAGCGUUGGAAUCCAUUGCUAACAGAGCUGUGCAACUCGAGACAGAGGUCUCCAGGCUCCAACAUGACUUGAUUACAUCGAUGAGCGAAGGUGAGGAGGCGAAUGCUGAAAUUUCUGAGCUGAAGAGGGUACUGGGAGAAAAGGAAGUGAAGCUUGAGGAGUUGAAGAAAGAGAAAAUGGAGACAGAAAAGAAAGUUAGGGAACUGGAGAGAAAGAUUGGGGUUUUGGAAGUGAAAGAAAUCGAGGAAAGGAGUAAGAGAGUAAGGACUGAGGAGGAAAUGAGAGAGAGAUUAAGUGAAAAAGAGAAAGAGAUAUUUCAGUACAAGGAUAGAUUCCUGGAACUGGAGAAUGAGGUGGCAGAGAAGGAGAAGAAAUUGAGGGCCUCGGAGGAGAAGGUGAGGGAAAUGGAAGAGAAGAUGGUGGAGCUACAGAAGGAGGUGGAGGAAGCAGAAAAGGUGAUUGGUGGAGUGAAGGAGAGGACUGUAGAUGCAAUUAAUGGCAUUCAAGUUGAGGGCAUAGAUAAGUGGUCUAAUGGGCUGAAGAUGCCGUGGCCGGUACUGGCUGUGGGUUCAACAGGUGCUAUCGCUGCCGCAGCUGCUGUGGUUUAUGUUUGCUAUGCUAGGCGGACGUAAUUGAGAGGUUAGGGUUUGUUCAAUACCCAAAUAAAAAACAAAAGAAAAAGAAUAUAUUUCAAUUUUGU
rnacentral:misc_RNA from 1 species